rnacentral:rRNA from 1 species
AACGAACGCUGGCGGCAGGCCUAACACAUGCAAGUCGAACGCCGUAGCAAUACGGAGUGGCAGACGGGUGAGUAACACGUGGGAACGUACCCUUCGGUUCGGAAUAACUCAGGGAAACUUGAGCUAAUACCGGAUACGUCCGAGAGGAGAAAGAUUUAUCGCCGAGGGAUCGGCCCGCGUCUGAUUAGCUCGUUGGUGAGGUAACGGCUCACCAAGGCGACGAUCAGUAGCUGGCUGAGAGGAUGAUCAGCCACAUUGGGACUGAGACACGGCCCAAACUCCUACGGGAGGCAGCAGUGGGGAAUAUUGGACAAUGGGCGCAAGCCUGAUCCAGCCAUGCCGCGUGAGUGA